GAUGAACGCUGGCGGCGUGCCUAAUACAUGCAAGUCGAGCGAACAGAUGAGGAGCUUGCUCCUCUGACGUUAGCGGCGGACGGGUGAGUAACACGUGGAUAACCUACCUAUAAGACUGGGAUAACUUCGGGAAACCGGAGCUAAUACCGGAUAAUAUAUUGAACCGCAUGGUUCAAUAGUGAAAGACGGUUUUGCUGUCACUUAUAGAUGGAUCCGCGCCGCAUUAGCUAGUUGGUAAGGUAACGGCUUACCAAGGCAACGAUGCGUAGCCGACCUGAGAGGGUGGUCGGCGACACUGGAACUGAGACACGGUCCAGACUCCUACGGGACGCCGCAGUAGGGAAUCUUCCGCAAUGGGCGAAAGCCUGACGGAGCAACGCCGCGUGAGUGAUGAAGGUCUUCGGAUCGUAAAGCUCUGUUAUUAGGGAAGAACAAAUGUGGAAGUAACUAUGCACGUCUUGACGGUACCUAAUCAGAAAGCCACGGCUAACUACGUG
rnacentral:rRNA from 1 species